GUCCAGCACACACUGGGCACCCCCGAAGCAUGAGUCUUGUUAGAUUCGGGAGGCUGCAGUGUAGGAAGCACCAUCACACUGUGGGUGGAGCAGAGCGUUCCCGUCUCUUGUAGGUCAGAAGACAGUCCCUGUGCCAUCUUCUCGGGCUCGGUGACCAAGAGCAGGUGCCAGCCAGCCCACAGCUGCCGCACUCCUGACCAUACUUGGGCAAAAAGCUGUGGCCGCUAUUAAUAACCAGGCUGUGCCUGCCCAGGUCCUGGGGCAGGAGGGCCGGCAGCUCCUAUAAAGCCAGGCCUGCCGGCUCCCAACGGCUCCUUCAGCCCCUGAGACUUUUAGCCCCCCUGUUGUGAGAGAAAAAGAAAAAAACUGAAAACGAGACCCUCAGAAUUUGCCAUGGGAAAAGCAACCACAAGUGAGAGAAGCAUCUGCCUCGAAUGAAGGGAUAUUGAAGACAGCGCAGAACUGUGAGGCCUAAGCGCGCGCUCACGGUUUUGCCUGGUGGAUUCCUCAUUAGACAAAUGAGCCAUAAUUAGUGUAUUAUUUACCUGAUUUCGCUAGUCUUAGGAAACCUUGUGCACAGAGCACCUGAAGUUGCCUCCUUUCAAAUCGUUCACACUGUGAGUGUCUCUUUUUUUUUUCCCCCACCAAAAUAAAUGGUUUACUCAAGAAAAGAAAAAGAAACAGAACCACCAAGAAGUGCAUGCAUGCACACUCGCCAGCCAGUCUGUCUGUUGGCCUCCCACAUGGGAAAAAGGUCGAAGAGCCCAACAUCUGUGAGUGUCUCUUAAAGCAAAGUGUGGCCACGUCUCUUAAACUCCUCACAGAUUCUUAACUGGGAUCUCCCUUCAAUUCGGUAUUUGGAGUGACCUUAAAUUAAAUGUACAUUCCAUUUUUAUGUGAUUGCCUAGGGCAGUUAGUGCCUGAUUUUGUCUUCCUUGCUCUGUUUCUCUGGAUGCUUCUACAUUGUGCAGUAAAAGGUGAGCUCAGCAGGCUUGGAUGCCCAAACCCUGUACGUGACAAAGAAAGAACUGGCUGUGAAUACUCGUGGGAGGUCACCUGGAAACUGAGAAUCGUCUUGCCUAGUAAGAGAGAGAGUCUAGGGUUACCUGGGGCCUUGCGCCUGGCCACGCAGUCUAUGCUAACAGUGUCAUUUAUGGUGGGGUCUUGGGCCACGUCCUAUCAGUUUGACCUCCCGAGUGGCUGGAGACUGAGUAACUAAGGUCAGCUACACGGUGCUCCAUCCCAAUG